GACGAACGCUGGCGGCAUGCUUGACACAUGCAAGUCGAACGGAAAGGCCCUGCUUUUGUGGGGUGCUCGAGUGGCGAACGGGUGAGUAACACGUGAGUAACCUGCCCUUGACUUUGGGAUAACUUCAGGAAACUGGGGCUAAUACCGGAUAGGAGCUCCUGCUGCAUGGUGGGGGUUGGAAAGUUUCGGCGGUUGGGGAUGGACUCGCGGCUUAUCAGCUUGUUGGUGGGGUAGUGGCUUACCAAGGCUUUGACGGGUAGCCGGCCUGAGAGGGUGACCGGCCACAUUGGGACUGAGAUACGGCCCAGACUCCUACGGGAGGCAGCAGUGGGGAAUAUUGCACAAUGGGCGGAAGCCUGAUGCAGCAACGCCGCGUGCGGGAUGACGGCCUUCGGGUUGUAAACCGCUUUCGCCUGUGACGAAGCGUGAGUGACGGUAAUGGGUAAAGAAGCACCGGCUAACUACGUG
rnacentral:rRNA from 1 species